rnacentral:lncRNA from 1 species
GCUACCCAAAAAUCCCAGGGGAGGUAGUCAGCUGGGCUUGAUGACAGCCACCCCAGCCCUGGGGGAGCCACUCCCAGGCAGGACACCUCCUGCCUCUCAGGUCAUACCCCUUCCUAGAUGCCCACAUCUGUAUGAUGGGGAUGAGAAAAUCUUCUCUUUAUGGAAGAAAAUCUACAGAGAGCCCUGAGCAGGAGCCUGGCAUGGAUAUAACACGCACCCAACAGCUGCUGCCACUUCCUUCCCUGGGAGGGCCUUCUGCAGCUCGGCGCCCUCAGCCUGUGCGUGGCUUUGCCCCCUGCACAUUUGCCAGCAGGCAUCAGCAGGACCCUGGGAAAGCAACAGUGAUGUAGUCAGGGCCACCUCCUCAUCUCCUGCUCCAUGCUAAAGAGAGAGCCAGACCAAGACUGGAGGUCUCUAGGAGGGACAAAUAGAGCCACCAAGUCCUCGCAGAGGAGCAGCCCCUGCAUGCUGCUGUGAGCGUGGGGUACCCCACCUCCUCACACCAGCCCCACCAGCAGGAGGUCGACGGCCACGUUCUACAGACUCAAAAAUGCCUGGAGCCACCCCUGCAGAUCCUCACUUCUCACUUCUCCACUGCACAGCUCAAAGGCCAUGGACAUCCCAGCCAUCAGGACUCAGGGCGAGCCUUAACAGAGUACAUUGGAUCUCAUCCUUCCUCCACUCAAACCGCCAGGAGCUCCUCUGCUCCACACAAGGCCCCUUCAGGGAACCUCGAGGAGCUCAGCAUGCCCCACCUCAGGGCCUUGGCAUGUGCUGCUCUGUCCUGAGGUCUCCACUGGGAUCCCUGCCUCCCUUUCCUUGGAUGUGUGUUCCUUCAUCAGCCAGGCCUGCCCUGGCCCAGGCUAAAUCUCCACUGGAGCUCACCACUGCCUGAUGCACCAGACACUUGGUCUGCUUCUCCUGGCCACUCUGACUAGAAGAGCCCACCAAGGCAGGCACUUGGGUCUGUCUUGUUCACAGCCAUAUCCCCAGCCCCUGGCACCCAGCAGCAUUCAAUAAAUGGUAAUUGAAUGGAUAAAUGAAUGAAUGAGGAGGUACCUGUUCAUUCAUUUAAUGCUAAUACUAAUACUGAUUAACAAUAAUAAUAGCAGGAGCCG